rnacentral:lncRNA from 1 species
CGGCCAGUGUUAGACUUAACAUUUUGUAGUGCUGGCCUCAAUGUUUCUUCGUGGUUAACGGUUGACUCAGCAACCAACAGUGAUCAUCUUCCUGUGUCAUUUGAAAUCAUGUGUCCAAUAACAUCUUUAGAAUGCCAGGCGUGCACAUUCAUGGACUAUACGAAAU